GCUCAUGGCUCAGGAUGAACGCUAGCGACAGGCUUAACACAUGCAAGUCGAGGGGCAGCGGGGUGUAGCAAUACACCGCCGGCGACCGGCGCACGGGUGAGUAACGCGUAUGCAACUUGCCUAUCAGAGGGGGAUAACCCGGCGAAAGUCGGACUAAUACCGCAUGAAGCAGGGAUCCCGCAUGGGAAUAUUUGCUAAAGAUUCAUCGCUGAUAGAUAGGCAUGCGUU
rnacentral:rRNA from 1 species